AACGCUAGCUACAGGCUUAACACAUGCAAGUCGAGGGGCAGCAUGGUCUUAGCUUGCUAAGGCCGAUGGCGACCGGCGCACGGGUGAGUAACACGUAUCCAACCUGCCGUCUACUCUUGGACAGCCUUCUGAAAGGAAGAUUAAUACAAGAUGGCAUCAUGAGUCCGCAUGUUCACAUGAUUAAAGGUAUUCCGGUAGACGAUGGGGAUGCGUUCCAUUAGAUAGUAGGCGGGGUAACGGCCCACCUAGUCUUCGAUGGAUAGGGGUUCUGAGAGGAAGGUCCCCCACAUUGGAACUGAGACACGGUCCAAACUCCUACGGGAGGCAGCAGUGAGGAAUAUUGGUCAAUGGGCGAGAGCCUGAACCAGCCAAGUAGCGUGAAGGAUGACUGCCCUAUGGGUUGUAAACUUCUUUUAUAAAGGAAUAAAGUCGGGUAUGGAUACCCGUUUGCAUGUACUUUAUGAAUAAGGAUCGGCUAACUCCGUGCCAGCAGCCGCGGUAAUACGGAGGAUCCGAGCGUUAUCCGGAUUUAUUGGGUUUAAAGGGAGCGUAGAUGGAUGUUUAAGUCAGUUGUGAAAGUUUGCGGCUCAACCGUAAAAUUGCAGUUGAUACUGGAUAUCUUGAGUGCAGUUGAGGCAGGCGGAAUUCGUGGUGUAGCGGUGAAAUGCUUAGAUAUCACGAAGAACUCCGAUUGCGAAGGCAGCCUGCUAAGCUGCAACUGACAUUGAGGCUCGAAAGUGUGGGUAUCAAACAGGAUUAGAUACCCUGGUAGUCCACACGGUAAACGAUGAAUACUCGCUGUUUGCGAUAUACAGCAAGCGGCCAAGCGAAAGCGUUAAGUAUUCCACCUGGGGAGUACGCCGGCAACGGUGAAACUCAAAGGAAUUGACGGGGGCCCGCACAAGCGGAGGAACAUGUGGUUUAAUUCGAUGAUACGCGAGGAACCUUACCCGGGCUUAAAUUGCAGAUGAAUUACGGUGAAAGCCGUAAGCCGCAAGGCAUCUGUGAAGGUGCUGCAUGGUUGUCGUCAGCUCGUGCCGUGAGGUGUCGGCUUAAGUGCCAUAACGAGCGCAACCCUUGUUGUCAGUUACUAACAGGUUCCGCUGAGGACUCUGACAAGACUGCCAUCGUAAGAUGUGAGGAAGGUGGGGAUGACGUCAAAUCAGCACGGCCCUUACGUCCGGGGCUACACACGUGUUACAAUGGGGGGUACAGAGGGCCGCUACCACGCGAGUGGAUGCCAAUCCCCAAAACCUCUCUCAGUUCGGACUGGAGUCUGCAACCCGACUCCACGAAGCUGGAUUCGCUAGUAAUCGCGCAUCAGCCACGGCGCGGUGAAUACGUUCCCGGGCCUUGUACACACCGCCCGUCAAGCCAUGGGAGCCGGGGGUACCUGAAGUGCGUAACCGCGAGGAGCGCCCUAGGGUAAAACUGGUGA
rnacentral:rRNA from 1 species